rnacentral:rRNA from 1 species
UACGUAGGGGGCGAGCGUUGUCCGGAUUUAUUGGGCGUAAAGCGCGUGUAGGCGGUUCGGUAAGUCCGCUGUGAAAGUCGGGGGCUCAACCCUCGGAUGCCGGUGGAUACUGUCGGGCUUGAGUACGGAAGAGGCGAGUGGAAUUCCUGGUGUAGCGGUGAAAUGCGCAGAUAUCAGGAGGAACACCAAUUGCGAAGGCAGCUCGCUGGGACGUUACUGACGCUGAGACGCGAAAGCGUGGGGAGCAAACAGG